ensembl:lncRNA FAM182B family with sequence similarity 182 member B
GUGAUAGUGCGUCAGAGUCGGGCCUGAGAGCAGUCCUGGCCAGGGCUUUAACAGGAUGGUCUCCGGAGCCUGGGAUUCUCGGAGGGCUGACCACCAGGAAGAAACCUCAGAAGUUUCUUUUGAUUUCUCCUGCUUAGAAAUGGUGCGAGAACUUUGGAUGUGGAACGUGGAGGAGGAGGAACACGAAGUGGGGAUCUGCACUUGGGGUGGUCAGCACUGCGGAUGCCCAGCAAAGUCACUGCCUGGUCCACAUCCCGGAGGGGUCUCUGCGCCUCAGUCGGCAUCGCAGCUGAUGGUGAAACUUUUGGUGUGGCAGAAGAGUGUCCACAAACUUCGGAAGAACAGAAACGCCUACAGUUGCGGCCCCCUGUAGUGCAAUUUGUGUCAGUCUAGGGAGAGUGGAUUUGGAGCCCAACCACCAUUGAGGAAAAUCCAUCUGACGGACAUGAGCCUCACUCAGGUUCUCAUCUACUUCCUUGGGGUCUGCCCCGCCUCCCUCAGAAGUUUGGAACCACAUACUGUUCUGGAGGGGACCUCUCACUGCUGCAGAACCUGUCCUCCAGGAUACCGACAAGUGUUCAUCUCGGUCGUGGCUAAUUAACUUACCAUAUGGUAGUGAACUCCCUUCUGGGGCCCCAAUAUUUUGUUUAUUUUUAAAAAAUAAAAUUAGUACCAUUGUUUAUUUUCUGAAUGUACAGAAAUAUUUGUCUGAUUAUUAUUUACAUGCCCUUUGGGAAAACUUUAUAAAAUAAAAAAAUAUGAAGGAGAAUCUUACCACACAGAGAUAAUCACUUUAAUUAUUUUUCUAUUCAUAUUUGCACAUACAGGUACAUAUGGGAUCAUGCUCUGUAUCUGUUGGGAGUGCAUUAAUCUGAAAAUUCAGUCACUUAAACAAAGACAGGUUCAUUUUUCUUACAUAGUUAGAGUACCUAUGGUUCCUGGCUAUGGUUCACUGGUUCAACAAUGUUAGGCCCAGUAUCUUUGUGAGUCUAUUGGAAUUUAGCUCACGGCUGUAAGACGGCUACUGCAGCUCCAACCACUACAUGAGUUUACAAGGCCAGCAAAAGCAGUCACUUCUGUAUUCUUAUUAGAAAAGCAAGAACUUCAGAGGUGACUCCCAGAGGAUUUCUCUUUAGGUCUGGAAAUCUGUGUUUAGAUUGGCCAGAACCUGAUCUCAUGACCAUCCCUAGCUGUAGAGAAUAGCAUUGUCAUGAUUGACUUUGGAUCAAUCAUAAUUUAUUGACUGAGAGUGCGCAUGUGGUCCCCUAAAGAAGAUCAAGAAAGGAGGGAAUUUGCAGUCUGUACUACAGCAUGCAUACUGUUUUAUAAUCUGCUCUUCCUCUUAAUUGCAUAUUUCCAACAUCUUUCCAUACUAAGAAAUAUAGAUUCAGUCAUUCAUUUAACAACAAAUUAUUGAGAGUGUACUGUGUUCUAGGAACGUAACUUGGCAUGGAGGACACAAUAAUGAACAUAGUAUACUCCUUGCCUCCAUGGAGCUUAGCAUCUAAUGAGGGAUACAGACAUUCAUCAAAGAGGUUCACAAAGAAAUGUAAAAUUACGAUUGUAAUUUGUGCUGAAAAGGAGGGAGGUGUGUGGUGUGUGAGAGCAGUGACAGGAUAUUUGACUCAAUCAGGAGGGUCUGUGUUCUGAAUGGCCAGAAGCCAGCCCCUUGCCUAGCUGUAGCACAAUUAUUGCUGUAUGUAGUCCAAUCUCUUAUUGCUGGACAUUUACAUUCUUCCCACAUCUUACCUACUAUCAUCGAUGCAACA